UCUAAACUAUAUUUUUUUAAUAUUUUCCUAAAAAUACUAUUUGGUUAUCUUUUGUUUUAAACACGGUCCUGUCGACAAUCGUUUAUUUCACUCCAUACGUUAUGUGAAUACAUUAUAGAUUAAUAAAUUUUUAUUCAAAAAAUCUAGCACGUCCAAAUAACAAACAAAAGUGUUGUUACUAUGGAGAAAAACAUUGUUUUUCUUAACAUUCUCUCGUAACCACAAAGCGAAAUCAUUCACCCUAAUUCGGUCAAACAAGACGGUCGCAAAACCAACGCUCCGUAAAUUUCUAAAUUCUUGUAACUCAAAUUAAAUCACAUCAGAAACAAUGGGUUGUUGUCCGGCUCCCUGCUGCGCACCAGUAUGCUGUGCUCCUUGCUGCUAUGUAGCAUGUGUUCCCUGCUGCUACCCCUGUUAUCCAUGUUGCGCCCCGUGUUGUCCACCUAGGUGUUGUUAAGGAUCCGUGUCCUGGUGCUACACUAACGAACCCUUGAUAUCAAACGUUUUUAUUUAAGAUGUUUAGUGAAUAAAGAGGGUUUGAAUACAAA